rnacentral:rRNA from 1 species
GACGAACGCUGGCGGCGUGCCUAACACAUGCAAGUCGAGCGGAGAUACUUAGGAGCUUGCUUUUGAGUAUCUUAGCGGCGGACGGGUGAGUAACGCGUGAGCAAUCUGCCUCUUUGAGGGGGAUAACACAGGGAAACCUGUGCUAAUACCGCAUAACAUAUUUUUGUGGCAUCACAGAGAUAUCAAAGGAGCAAUCCGCGAAGAGAUGAGCUCGCGUCCAAUUAGGUAGUUGGUGGGGUAACGGCCCACCAAGCCGACGAUUGGUAGCCGAACUGAGAGGUUGAACGGCCACAUUGGGACUGAGACACGGCCCAGACUCCUACGGGAGGCAGCAGUGGGGGAUAUUGCGCAAUGGGGGAAACCCUGACGCAGCAACGCCGCGUGAAGGAAGAAGGUCUUCGGAUUGUAAACUUUUGUCUUGUGGGAAGAUAAUGACGGUACCACAGGAGGAAGCCACGGCUAACUACGUGCCAGCAGCCGCGGUAAUUA